GACGAACGCUGGCGGCGUGCUUAACACAUGCAAGUCGAACGGAAAGGCCCUGCUUUUGUGGGGUGCUCGAGUGGCGAACGGGUGAGUAACACGUGAGUAACCUGCCCUUGACUUUGGGAUAACUUCAGGAAACUGGGGCUAAUACCGGAUAGGAGCUCCUGCUGCAUGGUGGGGGUUGGAAAGUUUCGGCGGUUGGGGAUGGACUCGCGGCUUAUCAGCUUGUUGGUGGGGUAGUGGCUUACCAAGGCUUUGACGGGUAGCCGGCCUGAGAGGGUGACCGGCGACAAUGGGACUAAGGAAGGGCCCAGAAGCCUACUGGGGGCAGCAGGGGGGAAUAUUGUACAGCAAGGGGAAGCCGGAUGCAGAAGCGCUGCGGUCGGGAUGACGGCUUUCUAGGUGUAAACAGCUUUCGCCUGUGACGAAGAGGGAAUGACGGUAAUUGGUAAAGAAGCACCGGCUAACUACGUG
rnacentral:rRNA from 1 species